UCAAGCUACAAAGAGCAUAGGGCGGAUGCCUUGGCACCAGGAGCCGAUGAAGGACGUGGAAAGCUGCGAAAAGCUUCGGGAAGGCGCACACAGCCAAUGAUCCGGAGAUAUCCGAAUGGGGCAACCCGUCUAGGAAAAGCCUAGACACUACUAGAUGAAUCCAUAGUCUAGUAGAGGGAACUCGGAGAACUGAAACAUCUAAGUAUCCGAAGGAGGAGAAAGAAACAUCGAUUUCCUAAGUAGCGGCGAGCGAACGGGAAAGAGCCCAAACCAAUGCAAUGCAUUGGGGUAAGGACUGCAUACGGAAUCUUACGAAAUAGAGGAAGUGUUUUGGGAAAGCACACCAAAGAGGGUGAAAGUCCCGUAGACAAAAUUUCAAAAGAGCCAGCAGGAUCCAGAGUACCACGGGACACGAGAAACCCUGUGGGAAGACGGGGGGACCACCCCCCAAGGCUAAAUACUCCCUGGUGACCGAUAGUGCAAAGUACUGUGAAGGAACGGUGAAAAGAACCCCGGGAGGGGAGUGAAAAAGAACCUGAAACCCUAUGUUUACAAACAAUGGAAGAACGAGAUGUUCGACCGUGUACUUUUUGUAGAACGGUCCGGCGAGUUGCAUUUACCAGCCAGGUUAAAGACGAAAAGUCUGGAGCCGAAGGGAAACCAAGUCUGAAAAGGGCGUCUAGUUGGUAAGUGCAGACCCGAAACCGGGUGACCUACCCAUGUCCAGGAUGAAGUCUCCGUAAAAGGAGAUGGAGGUCCGAACCCACAAGUGUUGAAAAACUUGGGGAUGAGGUGUGGGUAGGGGAGAAAUUCCAAUCGAACUCGGAGAUAGCUGGUUCUCCUCGAAAUAGCUUUCGGGCUAGCCUUGAUGGAAUCUAAUGGAGGUAAAGCACUGACUUGCCUAGGGGGCCAAUCCGCCUACCGAAGCAUAUCAAACUAAGAAUGCCAUAAAGAUACUCAUCAGGAGUCAGACUAUGGGAGAUAAGUUUCAUAGUCGAGAGGGAAAGAGCCCAGACCAUCAGCUAAGGUCCCUAAGUACGUGUUAAGUGGAAAAGGAUGUGAGAUUUCAGAGACAACUAGGAUGUUGGCUUAGAAGCAGCCACUCAUUCAAAGAGUGCGUAAUAGCUCACUAGUCGAGAGAUCUUGCGCCGAAAAUGUCCGGGGCUAAAACACGGCACCGAAGCUAUGGCUAGAUACAGAAGUAUCUGGGGUAGAGGAGCAUUGUUAUCGAGACGAAGCUAUACCGUAAGGCGUAGUGGAUGGAUAACAAGAGAGAAUGCCGGAAUGAGUAGCGAGAGAGAAGUGAGAAUCUUCUCGGCCGAAAAUCUAAGGAUUCCAGAGUAAAGCUGAUCUGCUCUGGGUAAGUCGGGACCUAAGGCGAGGACGCAAGUCGUAGUCGAUGGACAACAGGUAGAAAUUCCUGUACUACUAAAUAACAGAACUGUGGGGACGCAGAAGGAUAAACAAACCGGGGAGCGGAAAAACCCGGCCAAUCACGGAGUCAGGGAAGAUAGGCAAAUCCGUUUUUCCAAUGAUGAAGUGAGAAGGGGACUGAAGAAAAGUAGGGAAGUUGUUGACUCCAAGCUGCCAAGAAAAGCCGCUAUUGUUUAUUUAGUACCCGUACCGUAAACCGACACAGGUAGAUGAGGAGAGAAUCCUAAGGCCGACGGGAGAAGCGUUGUUAAGGAACUCGGCAAAAAGACCCCGUAACUUCGGGAGAAGGGGUGCCUGUAGGAAUACAGGCCGCAGUGAAAAGGCCCAAACGACUGUUUAGCAAAAACACAGGUCUCUGCGAAACCGAAAGGUGAAGUAUAGGGGCUGACGCCUGCCCGGUGCUGGAAGGUUAAGGGGACGAGUUAGCUGCAAAGCAAAGCUCAGAACUUAAGCCCCAGUAAACGGCGGCCGUAACUAUAACGGUCCUAAGGUAGCGAAAUUCCUUGUCGGGUAAGUUCCGACCCGCACGAAAGGCGUAACGAUUUGGGCACUGUCUCGACAACGCGCCCGGUGAAAUUGAAAUACCAGUGAAGAUGCUGGUUACCCGCGACAGGACGGAAAGACCCCGUGGAGCUUUACUGCAGCUUGAUAUUGGGAUUCGGCAUUACCUGUACAGGAUAGGAGGGAGGCAAAGAAGUGAGGACGCCAGUCUUCAUGGAGCCAUUGUUGGGAUACCUCUCUUGUAGUGCUGAAUUUCUAACCUGGAUCCCUAACCGGGAUUAGGGACAUUGUCAGGUAGGCAGUUUGACUGGGGCGGUCGCCUCCGAAAGAGUAUCGGAGGCGCUCAAAGGUCACCUCAGAAUGGUAGGAAAUCAUUCGCAGAGUGCAAAGGCAAAAGGUGGCUUAACUGUGACACCGACGGGUGGAACAGAUACGAAAGUAGGACUUAGUGAUCCGGUGGUAUAAAGUGGGAUUGCCAUCGCUCAACGGAUAAAAGCUACCCCGGGGAUAACAGGCUUAUCACUCCCAAGAGUUCACAUCGACGGAGUGGUUUGGCACCUCGAUGUCGGCUCAUCGCAUCCUGGGGCUGUAGUAGGUCCCAAGGGUUGGGCUGUUCGCCCAUUAAAGCGGUACGCGAGCUGGGUUCAGAACGUCGUGAGACAGUUCGGUCCCUAUCCGUCGUGGGCGCAGGAAAUUUGCGGGGAUCUGUCCUUAGUACGAGAGGACCGGGAUGGACAAACCACUGGUGGAUCUGUUGUACUACCCAGUGCAUAGCAGAGUAGCCAAGUUUGGGAAGGAUAAACGCUGAAGGCAUCUAAGCGUGAAGCCAGCCCCAAGAUAAGAUUUCCCAUAGCGCAAGCUAGUAAGACCCCUAGAAGACGACUAGGUAGAUAGGCCAUAAGUGUAAGAGUGGUAACACUCUCAGCUAAAUGGUACUAAUCGGUCGAGGGCUUGACCU
rnacentral:rRNA from 1 species